AGCCGAUCCAGUCCACUGUCAGCAUCUCCCUGGGCCCGAAUGAAACCACAGAGAGCAAAAGUGGAAAAUUGGCCGGUGUAGAUGCCAUUCUCAUCCAAAUGCCCAAUGUUGAUCUGGACAGAAGCAUGGUCCUUGGAAGUAAUCAGCCGGUUCGUUGCGGAGCAUUUUCUGGGAAUAUAAAGCUCUGUGAUUUUACCCUCUUCGUUCUGCAUCUUGAAGUGUAUCAACUAAUACUUUAGAACUAGAAAACCGCAAGCGCACCAGAGGAAACGAACUAUCCGAAAG
rnacentral:misc_RNA from 1 species